CUUUUUCCCCCCCACAGAGCACACUCUGCUGUAUGUGCAAACAACAUACUUGAGCAAUGUCUCAUGAAAGGCAAUGCGCUGGAGCAAAUGCAUUUUCAGUUACAUAAUUCCCAUUUCCAGAUAUUGUGAUUCUUGUUUGUUACUUUUUGAGCCAUUUCUAUACAAUGGCCACCUUGGCCAGGCCACAUUUCCCAACACAUAGAGAUUCUCAUUCUUGCUUUGCAUUGAGUUGGAUUCUGUUUAUGAUAUAUACCAGAAUGCACUCAGACAAUAGGUAGGCUCUCAGAACAGCCAGAGAAUGCCCUCUUUU
rnacentral:lncRNA from 1 species